CCUACGGGUGGCAGCAGUGAGGAAUAUUUGUCAAUGGCCGUAAGGCUGAACCAGCCAAGUCGCGUGAAGGAAGAAGGCUCUAGGGUUUGUAAACUUCUUUUAUAGGGGGAUAAAGGUAUCCACGUUGGGCUAUUUGCAUGUCCCCUAUGAAUAAGCAUCGGCUAACUCCGUGCAGGAAGCCGCGGUAAUACGGAGGAUGCGAGCGUUCUCCGGAUUUAUGGGGUUUAAAGGGUGCUUGGGUGGUUUUUUAAGUAAGGGGUGAAAGUUUGUGGUUCAACCAUAAAAUUGCCGUUGAAACUGGAAGACUUGAGUGUGUUUGAGGUAGGCGGAAUGCGUGGUGUAGCGGUGAAAUGCAUAGAUAUCACGCAGAACUCCGAUUGCGAAGGCAGCUUACUAAGCCAUAACUGACACUGAAGCACGAAAGCGUGGGGAUCAAACAGGAUUAGAUACCCGUGUAGUC
rnacentral:rRNA from 1 species